rnacentral:tRNA from 1 species
GGCCCUGAGGUGUCUUGACAUGUCAGACUGCAAAUCUGAAGUAGCAGACUAACGUCUACCGGGGCUU